rnacentral:rRNA from 1 species
UACGGAGGGUGCAAGCGUUAUCCGGAUUCACUGGGUUUAAAGGGUGCGUAGGUGGGUUGGUAAGUCAGUGGUGAAAUCUCCGUGCUUAACAUGGAAACUGCCAUUGAUACUACUGAUCUUGAAUUUUCAGGAGGUAAGCGGAAUAUGUCAUGUAGCGGUGAAAUGCUUAGAUAUGACAUAGAACACCAAAUUGCGAAGGCAG